UAGCUAAAGCUAUUUGUAUUAUUAAUACAAAAUCGUUAUGUCGACUAAAGUUCUAGAUAAUUAUUUGAUGAUGACAAUUUUUAUCUAUUAGUCUUGACUAAUUCUCGUGCCAGCAGUCGCGGUAAUACGAGUAAGGCUAGCGUUAUUCAUCUUUAUUGGGUCUAAAGGGUACCUAGACUGUUGAUAAAGCCUUUAUAGGAACUAAUCAACUUGAGUUUUAUAUGAGAAAGGUGUGAAUAGAGGAUGGAGAGAUUAAAUUUGAUGAUAUCUAUCUAGACAGUCAACGGCGAAAGCGACUUUUUAUGUAAAAACUGACGUUGAGGGACGAAGGCUUGACAUAAUGAAUAGGAUUAGAUACCCUAGUAAUUCAAGCAGAAAAUGAUGAAUGCUAUAGAUAAGAAUUAUUUUUUGUUUAUAA
rnacentral:rRNA from 1 species